rnacentral:rRNA from 1 species
GAUGAACGCUCGCGGCAGGCCUAAUACAUGCAAGUCGAACGAGAUUAAGAGGCUUGCUUCUUAUGAAAGUGGCGCACGGGUGCGUAACGCGUAUGCAACCUACCUUAAUCAGGGGGAUAGCCCGAAGAAAUUCGGAUUAAGACCGCAUAAAAACACAGGAUAGCAUUAUCCAAUGUUCAAAUAUUUAUAGGAUUAAGAUGGGCAUGCGUGUCAUUAGCUAGUUGGCGGGGUAACGGCCCACCAAGGCGACGAUGACUAGGGGAUCUGAGAGGAUGACCCCCCACACUGGUACUGAGACACGGACCAGACUCCUACGGGAGGCAGCAGUAAGGAAUAUUGGUCAAUGGAGGGAACUCUGAACCAGCCAUGCCGCGUGCAGGAAGACAGCCCUCUGGGUCGUAAACUGCUUUUAUUCGGGAAUAAACCUUUCUACGUGUAGGAAGCUGAAUGUACCGAAGGAAUAAGGAGCGGCUAACUCCGUG